AGUGAACGCUGGCGGUAGGCCUAACACAUGCAAGUCGAACGGCAGCACAGGAGAGCUUGCUCUCUGGGUGGCGAGUGGCGGACGGGUGAGGAAUACAUCGGAAUCUACCUUGUCGUGGGGGAUAACGUAGGGAAACUUACGCUAAUACCGCAUACGACCUUCGGGUGAAAGUGGGGGACCGCAAGGCCUCACGCGAUUAGAUGAGCCGAUGUCGGAUUAGCUGGUUGGCGGGGUAAAAGCACACCAAGGCGACGAUCCGUAGCUGGUCUGAGAGGAUGAUCAGCCACACUGGAACUGGGACACGGUCCAGACUCCUACGGGAGGCAGCAGUGGGGAAUAUUGGACAAUGGGCGCAAGCCUGAUCCAGCCAUACCGCGUGGGUGAAGAAGGCCUUCGGGUUGUAAAGCCCUUUUGUUGGGAAAGAAAUCUUGCCGGUUAAUACCUGGCGAGGAUGACGGUACCCAAAGAAUAAGCACCGGCUAACUUCGUGCCAGCCGCCGCAGUAACAC
rnacentral:rRNA from 1 species